AUUGAACGCUGGCGGCAGGCCUAACACAUGCAAGUCGAGCGGGGUUUUCGGACCUAGCGGCGGACGGGUGAGUAAUGCGUAGGAAGCUGCCCGAUAGAGGGGGAUACCAGUUGGAAACGACUGUUAAUACCGCAUAAUGUCUACGGACCAAAGUGUGGGACCUUCGGGCCACAUGCUAUCGGAUGCGCCCACGUGGGAUUAGCUAGUUGGUGAGGUAAUGGCUCACCAAGGCGACGAUCUCUAGCUGGUUUGAGAGGAUGAUCAGCCACACUGGAACUGAGACGCGGUCCAGACUCCUACGGGAGGCAGGAGUGGGGAAUAUUGGACAAUGGGCGCAAGCCUGAUCCAGCCAUGCCGCGUGUGUGAAGAAGGCCUUCGGGUUGUAUAGCACUUUCAGCGAGGAGGAAGGGGUGUGUGUUAAUAGUACACACCUUUGACGUUACUCGCAGAAGAAGCACCGGCUAACUCUGUGCCAGCCGCCGCAGUAAUAC
rnacentral:rRNA from 1 species